AGAGUUUGAUCCUGGCUCAGGAUGAACGCUGGCGGCGUGCCUAACACAUGCAAGUCGAACGAAGCUUGACGGAUGAUUUCUUCGGAAUGAAACCAGAUAUGACUUAGUGGCGGACGGGUGAGUAACACGUGAGCAACCUGCCUUUCAGAGGGGGAUAACGGCUGGAAACGGUCGCUAAUACCGCAUGAUGUGUUCGGAUGGCAUCAUCUGAACAUCAAAGAUUUAUCGCUGAAAGAUGGGCUCGCGUCUGAUUAGAUAGUUGGUGGGGUAACGGCCUACCAAGUCGACGAUCAGUAGCCGGACUGAGAGGUUGAACGGCCACAUUGGGACUGAGAUACGGCCCAGACUCCUACGGGAGGCAGCAGUGGGGAAUAUUGCACAAUGGGGGAAACCCUGAUGCAGCAACGCCGCGUGAAGGAUGACGGUUUUCGGAUUGUAAACUUCUUUUCUUAGUGAUGAAGACAGUGACGGUAGCUAAGGAAUAAGCAUCGGCUAACUACGUGCCAGCAGCCGCGGUAAUACGUAGGAUGCAAGCGUUAUCCGGAUUUACUGGGUGUAAAGGGAGCGCAGGCGGGACUGCAAGUUGGAUGUGAAAUACCGUGGCUUAACCACGGAACUGCAUCCAAAACUGUAGUUCUUGAGUGAAGUAGAGGCAAGCGGAAUUCCGAGUGUAGCGGUGAAAUGCGUAGAUAUUCGGAGGAACACCAGUGGCGAAGGCGGCUUGCUGGGCUUUAACUGACGCUGAGGCUCGAAAGUGUGGGGAGCAAACAGGAUUAGAUACCCUGGUAGUCCACACUGUAAACGAUGAUAGCUAGGUG
rnacentral:rRNA from 1 species